AUUGAACGCUGGCGGCAUGCCUUACACAUGCAAGUCGAACGGUAACAGGUUAAGCUGACGAGUGGCGAACGGGUGAGUAAUGUAUCGGAACGUGCCCAAUAGUGGGGGAUAGCCCGGCGAAAGCCGGAUUAAUACCGCAUGAGACCUGAGGGUGAAAGCAGGGGAUCGCAAGACCUUGCGCUGAUUGAGCGGCCGAUAUCAGAUUAGCUAGUUGGUGAGGUAAAGGCUCACCAAGGCGACGAUCUGUAGCGGGUCUGAGAGGAUGAUCCGCCACACUGGAACUGAGACACGGUCCAGACUCCUACGGGAGGCAGCAGUGGGGAAUUUUGGACAAUGGGGGCAACCCUGAUCCAGCCAUGCCGCGUGAGUGAAGAAGGCCUUCGGGUUGUAAAGCUCUUUCGGCCGGGAAGAAAUCGUAUCAGCUAAUACCUGGUGCGGAUGACGGUACCGGCAUAAGAAGCACCGGCUAACUACGUGCCAGCCGCCGCUGUAACAC
rnacentral:rRNA from 1 species